rnacentral:rRNA from 1 species
UGGCGGCGUUGCCUUAACACAUGCAAGUCAACUUGACUGAAGGAGCAAUCUGACAGUAGAGUUGGCGCAAGGGUGCGUAACGCGUAAGUAACUUGCCCAAGGUAAGGAAUAACGUCGAGAAAUCGGCGCUAAUACCUCAUAAUGCAGCGGAUCCGCAUGGAUAUGUUGUUAAAGGUUUACCGCCUUGGGAUAGGCUUGCGUCUGAUUAGUUAGUUGGUGUGGUAACGGCACACCAAGGCUACGAUCAGUAACUGGUCUGAGAGGAUGAUCAGUCACACUGGAACUGAGACACGGUCCAGACUCCUACGGGAGGCAGCAGUGAGGAAUAUUGGGCAAUGCUCGAAAGAGUGACCCAGCAACGCCGCGUGGAGGAUGAAGGUAUUCUAUAUCGUAACUCCUGUGAGAGCAGACGAAAGACAGAUUAUUAAUCUGGAUGACUGUAUGCUCAGAGGAAGCCCCGGCUAACUACGUG